rnacentral:rRNA from 1 species
AUUGAACGCUGGCGGCAUGCUUUACACAUGCAAGUCGAACGGCAGCGCGGGCUUCGGCCUGGCGGCGAGUGGCGAACGGGUGAGUAAUACAUCGGAACGUGCCCAGGAGUGGGGGAUAGCUCGGCGAAAGCCGGAUUAAUACCGCAUACGACCUGAGGGUGAAAGCGGGGGAGCUUCGGACCUCGCGCUAUUGGAGCGGCCGAUGGCAGAUUAGCUAGUUGGUGGGGUAAAGGCCUACCAAGGCGACAAUCUGUAGCUGGUCUGAGAGGACGACCAGCCACACUGGGACUGAGCCACGGCCCAGACUCCUACGGGAGGCAGCAGUGGGGAAUUUUGGACAAUGGGCGAAAGCCUGAUCCAGCAAUGCCGCGUGUGUGAUGAAGGCCUUCGGGUUGUAAAGCACUUUUGGCGGGAACGAAAAGGACUGUGCCAAUACCACGGUUCGAUGACGGUACCCGCAGAAUAAGCACCGGCUAACUACGUG